rnacentral:rRNA from 1 species
UACGUAGGGUGCAAGCGUUAAUCGGAAUUACUGGGCGUAAAGGGCGCGUAGGUGGCCUUCUAAGUUGAACGUGAAAUCCCUGGGCUCAACCCAGGAACUGCGUCCAAGACUGGGAGGCUUGAAUCCGGGAGAGGGAUGCGGAAUUCCAGGUGUAGCGGUGAAAUGCGUAGAUAUCUGGAGGAACACCGGUGGCGAAGGCGGCAUCCUGGACCGGUAUUGACACUGAGGCGCGAAAGCCAGGGGAGCAAACGGG